GCCUGGAUAGCUCAGUUGGUUAGAGCUUGGUGCUGAUAACACCAGGGUUGCAGGUUUGAUUCCCAUAUGGGACA
rnacentral:tRNA from 1 species